rnacentral:rRNA from 1 species
AAAUUCUUGGAUUUAUGGAAGACGAACAGUUGCGAAAGCGUUUGGCAAGGAUAUUCCCAUUGAUCAAGGACGAAAGUUAGGGGAUCGAAGACGAUUAGAUACCGUCGUAGUCUUAACCAUAAACGAUGCCCUCUUAAAAGGAGUGUGUUUUAAUACAAUACGAAUCGAACAUCCUUUUUUUCCGGGAAACCAAAGCUUUUGGGUUCUGGGGGGAGUAUGGUCGCAAGUCUGAAACUUAAAGGAAUUGACGGAAGGGCACCACCAGGAGUGGAGCCUGCGGCUUAAUUUGACUCAACACGGGGCAACUUACCAGGUCCGGACAUUUUUAUGAUUGACAGAUUGAUAGCUCUUUCAUGAUUGAAUGGGUGGUGGUGCAUGGCCGUUCUUAGUUGGUGGAGUGAUUUGUCUGGUUAAUUCCGUUAACGAACGAGACCUUUUCCUGCUAACUAGUUGGUAUCCUUUUUUUUGAAGAGAGGAUGCUAUAAACUUCUUAGAGGUACUAUUCGUUUUUCACGGAUGGAAGCUUUAGGCAAUAACAGGUCUGUGAUGCCCUUUGAUGUCCUGGGCUGCACGCGGGCUACACUGAUGCAUUCACUGAGUAUUUUUGGAAACCUAUUCUGAAAGGAGUAUGGGUAAUCUUUGAAAAUGCAUCGUGCUUGGGAUUGAAAACUGUAACUGUAUUUAUGAACGAGGAAUUCCUUGUAAACGCGAGUCAUCAACUUGCGUUGAUUACGUCCCUGCCCUU